ACACAAAGCUACCAUGAGUUAGCAGCUAGCUUUUCUGUUUUUCUUUUAAAUGAAUGAAAUAAAUAUAAAAAAAAAAAAAUGGCGGGACCUUCCUACGGUCAUCACCACACUUUGACUAUCAAAAGACACUUUAAGCAAUCAUGCCUGCUGCCAUAAGAGUUGUUAAAUCACUGAAUCCUCCAUCUGAUCAGUGGGUUGAGUGUGUGCCUGCAGUUGAUUCACAUCAGCCCGAUAUCCCAAGGAGAAGCAGAAUGACAUCAUUCACAGUAUCAAACAGCUAAAUGACAAAGUUGAUGCACUGCAUCCUUGGACCAUCCCUGAAAGUGUCAGUUCCCAGACAUACAAGGAGAGAGAACAAUGUGGACGCUGCUGAGAUGAUCAUCCGAAGAAUGGCCAGCUCUAAACCAAAAGUGUGUGCUAGAACCAAUUACAAGCAGUGCCUGGA